CCAUCCUUACCCUUUCAUUCCCUCUCCUCUGACGACUCCAACUCUAAGCAUUUCUUCCAGGAGAAGUGGCUCGCUUGCUCUCUAGCUCAUUCAGCCCAUGCACGAGAUUAAUGCAGGCGAGGCUGUAGUGCUCGCACCCCAUAGCUCCCACUAGAGCUCCUGCUGCCACCGUUAACAUGUGCAACGAGCUCAUCCAAUUCUACCAGAAGUUUGCCGCCAUGCUACGCUAGGUGCCAUGCCGCUUGCUCCCGCGCUGGCGGCUGAGUCGUGCGCUUCUCCUACUCCCAUACCUGCGGAGGAGGAGGACACGGCAAAGAGGGAGGUGGAAGGAGGAUGUGGUCACCAUGACUCCAUGGGAAGUUCUUACCAUGCUGAAGGAGGAAGAAGACUCCACACUGAGAUGCGCCAGCAAGCCACGAGGCACUAAGAGUUUUUGUGAUGCAUCUAAUAUUUUAAUAUGUUAGGAUUAGUGUUUUUAUCCAAUGAUCUUCGAUGUUGCAAGAUCCAUUUGAGAUGUCAAGUUCUAUGUUCUAUUUUUCGAUGCAUUCAACGAUUUUGAGAGGUUGGGAUAAGUAUUCACUAAUGUUGCAACAAUCGGUCUGAAAUGCUACAGAGUUUCCUUUUUCUUGAUGUUGCAUAAGGUAUUUUCUUAAGGUUGCAUAAGGUGUUUUCAGUUGUUUCAACAAUUAAUUUUGCAAAAUUGGCUUACGGGAAAAGAGAGGAUUUUGAUUGAAUUUGAAUGUUACGUGAAACAUUUGUAUUUGUUGUGGUGGGCAUUUGUUUUUUUUAAAACUAAAUGCUAAUGAAUUGUAAUUUCUAUCAUACAUUUUGGAUAUUACAAAACUUACGUUUGAAUGUUGCACGCUUUAUUUCUGUAUGUUGCAAGAGACCGUCCGAUGGGAUAUCUCCCAUCAGACGAUUGGACGCUAGCAGCCCCGUUCUUUUUUUUCUCCC
rnacentral:lncRNA from 1 species